UGCAGCUUUGUCAAAUUCAGUGCUAAGCUCUCAGUACUUUGCACUGGCCAAAAUGGCUGCAAAAGUGACUGUAGUUCAUGGGCCCCACAUUUCUUCUCUGUGGAUUGAGGGGAUAAAUAUGUACUACAGACAAAA